GAACGGCCGGGAAUGGCCGGGAAUGGCCGGGAAUGGCCGGGAACGGCCGGGAAUGGCACGGACGUGCCCGCUGCCAGCGCGGGUCUCCUCCCUAGUGCGGACUAGCGGUGCCGGGGAUGGCUCCGGGCUGCCUCUGUGCCCACGGGACUCAGCGCCCGGCAGGAGGAUGGAGGGUUCGGUGUGGCCGCCUGGCACCGAGCCCCGGAGUGGGGGUCUCGGCCCCGCAGCCGGCCCCCAACUCACCCCGCUCGGCACAGCCCUGAGGGACAGGGGCUGAGAGCCCUGCCUUGCCUGGUCCCCUUGUGUGUGAAUUAUUUAUCACUUUUCACAGCCCAUCCCCUCGCCCCCAGCACCACCGUCUGUUCCUCUUCCUCGCUGUUCCCAGCACGGUACCGCUGUUGGCAGCUGGGCCCUUGGAGCAUCAGGUGUCCCCUCUGUCAUCCCAGAAAGCAAUAAAGGGCACUCAGAGCGCGGGGCGAUUAGCUCAGGUUUCCUUUCGUGCAGCUGGUGGCUCAUCUGUAGCUCAGCGUCCAGGACCUGCCAUCCCCAGGAACAGGAGCCAAUUGUGGUCCUGGCAGCUUGACUCACCCUCAGCCAGCUCCGGUGCCCCCCAGUCUGUGUCAGGCAAGGGCUGGUCCCGGGAAUGCUCUGGCAGGGACCAUAUCCAUCUGCUGCCCUCAACACCCCUGCCUGCAGGAAGGCAAAUAUAUUGCCACUCAAAAUGCUUUUUAUCCCCUUCUUUCUGCCCCACCCAGCCAUGAGAAAGAGGAGCUGGAAAAAUGGAGUGUGGGAGAUGCAGAGACACAGCACUGAUGGUGAGGACAUGCAGAGCCUCACCGUGUGCACUCUGCAAAGGGAAAGGGGCCCCAGGAGCACACCCAGGGCUGGUGGGUAACAGGGGACACGGGUUCUCAUGUCCCAUGUCCCUUCUCUGGACAGAGCCUUGAAACAGCAUCUCAAGUUUCUGAAUGCAGCCCUGUCCCCAGCUGUCCAUCUCUGCCACCCUGGCUGUGUCACCAGCUGCUGCUUUUCUGGUGAUGGUGGAGGGACCUCUGAUCUGCUUUAGAUCAGUGCUUUGAAGGGAGGGAGCCCCAAGAACCUGCCUGAAGCAGCAAACUGGGGCCGGGGAGAGGAGGAGCCCCAGCACUUGGGGGCCCUGGCACAGGCACUUCAUGAAACUCAUUAGACAAGGAGCUCUGCAAAGGUGGUGACCCCACUGCUGUGGCCCCUCUGAACUGUCAGAGAUGAGGACCACAGGGGACAGGGAUGGAGAGAGCAAGGCAGCAGCUGGCUGGUGGUCACCACACUUCUGUGGGCAAAUAAUCCCUUAAGGGAGAUUACCCAGAUCGGAAGAUUACUGGCCCUAAUCCCAUAAGGUCAUUUGUUUCAGUUAACUGAGAUCUCUGUCUGUGGCUGCAUCAAAUGAAGUACAGCAGCUUCAGGGGAGCAGAGGGAGCCGGUGCUGGGGCACACACAGGCACUCCAGGCUGGGAAUGAUCCACACUCGGCCCUUUUCUGUAUGCAGCCAGAAACCCUCCCUGCCUGCUGGCAGCUGCACAGGAAGCUUCAGGGAUGUUUAUAAGGUUUUUUUUCUCUCUUCUUCUUUCAUGUGGCUGCUGGGGCCUGUUGUUAAGAUAAAUCAGACUUCAAACCAC